UACGGCAUUAUCAGGUUGAGAAACCUGUUCUCGUACGAUCACUGAAGUUAAGCAACGUCUAGUCUGGUCAGUACCUAGAUAGGUGACCGCUCGGGAAUAUCAAAUGCUGUAA